rnacentral:lncRNA from 1 species
AACAGAAAAAUUGUCCUGCUGGAGGGAAGUGGAAGGAUCAUACAAAGAGUCCUGAGAUUCUAUGAAGGGAGAAAUUCCCGGCCUUCCUCCAGAUGCCUCAGCUCCUCAUCUUUCCCACACCAGAUGCAAUAAGUUAAAAGAGCUGCUCUUCAUGAUGAUUCUACAAGUUAAAAGAGCUAUUCACCAGAGAGCAUUUUGAUGAAAAUGCUUUAUCACCUGGCACAGACGGAUCAUG